rnacentral:rRNA from 1 species
GACGAACGCUGGCGGCGUGCUUAACACAUGCAAGUCGAACGGAAAGGCCCUGCUUUUGUGGGGUGCUCGAGUGGCGAACGGGUGAGUAACACGUGAGUAACCUGCCCUUGACUUUGGGAUAACUUCAGGAAACUGGGGCUAAUACCGGAUAGGAGCUCCUGCUGCAUGGUGGGGGUUGGAAAGUUUCGGCGGUUGGGGAUGGACUCGCGGCUUAUCAGCUUGUUGGUGGGGUAGUGGCUUACCAAGGCUUCGACGGGUAGCCGGCCUGAGAGGGUGACCGGCCACAUUGGGACUGAGAUACGGCCCAGACUCCUACGGGAGGCAGCAGUGGGGAAUAUUGCACAAUGGGCGGAAGCCUGAUGCAGCAACGCCGCGUGCGGGAUGACGGCCUUCGGGUUGUAAACCGCUUUCGCCUGUGACGAAGCGUGAGUGACGGUAAUGGGUAAAGAAGCACCGGCUAACUACGUGCCAGCAGCCGCGGUGAUACGUAGGGUGCGAGCGUUGUCCGGAUUUAUUGGGCGUAAAGGGCUCGUAGGUGGUUGAUCGCGUCGGAAGUGUAAUCUUGGGGCUUAACCCUGAGCGUGCUUUCGAUACGGGUUGACUUGAGGAAGGUAGGGGAGAAUGGAAUUCCUGGUGGAGCGGUGGAAUGCGCAGAUAUCAGGAGGAACACCAGUGGCGAAGGCGGUUCUCUGGGCCUUUCCUGACGCUGAGGAGCGAAAGCGUGGGGAGCGAACAGGCUUAGAUACCCUGGUAGUCCACGCUGUAAACGGUGGGUACUAGGUGUGGGGUCCAUUCCACGGGUUCCGUGCCGUAGCUAACGCUUUAAGUACCCCGCCUGGGGAGUACGGCCGCAAGGCUAAAACUCAAAGGAAUUGGCGGGGCCCCGCACAAGCGGCGGAGCAUGCGGAUUAAUUCGAUGCAACGCGUAGAACCUUACCUGGGUUUGACAUGGAUCGGGAGUGCUCAGAGAUGGGUGUGCCUCUUUUGGGGUCGGUUCACAGGUGGUGCAUGGCUGUCGUCAGCUCGUGUCGUGAGAUGUUGGGUUAAGUCCCGCAACGAGCGCAACCCUUGUUCACUGUUGCCAGCACGUUAUGGUGGGGACUCAGUGGAGACCGCCGGGGUCAACUCGGAGGAAGGUGGGGAUGACGUCAAGUCAUCAUGCCCCUUAUGUCCAGGGCUUCACGCAUGCUACAAUGGCUGGUACAGAGAGUGGCGAGCCUGUGAGGGUGAGCGAAUCUCGGAAAGCCGGUCUCAGUUCGGAUUGGGGUCUGCAACUCGACCUCAUGAAGUCGGAGUCGCUAGUAAUCGCAGAUCAGCAACGCUGCGGUGAAUACGUUCCCGGG